rnacentral:rRNA from 1 species
GGAAGGAUCAUUACUGAAUUGUCAAACGGGCUGUUGCUGGUCCUCAAAUGGGGACAUGUGCACGCUCUGUUUACACAUCCACUCACACCUGUGCACCCUCUGUAGUUUUACGGUCUGGGGGACCCUGUCUUCCUUCCGUAGUUCUACGUCUUUACACACACACUGUAAUAAAGUCUUAUGGAAUGUAUGCCGCGUCUAACGCAACACAAUACAACUUUCAGCAACGGAUCUCUUGGCUCUCGCAUCGAUGAAGAACGCAGCGAAAUGCGAUAAGUAAUGUGAAUUGCAGAAUUCAGUGAAUCAUCGAAUCUUUGAACGCACCUUGCGCCCCUUGGAUAUUCCGAGGGGCAUGCCUGUUUGAGUAUCAUGAACACCUCAACUCUCAUGGUUUGCCAUGACGAGCUUGGACCUUGGGGGUUUUGCUGGCCUGUGGUCGGCUCCUCUCAAAUGAAUCAGCCUCCCAGUGUUUGGUGGCAUCACGAGUGUGAUAACUAUCUACGCUCGCGGUUGCCCACCAGGUAACCUUUGGUGACAAAGGUUCGCUGGAGCUCACAGAUGUCUCUCCUUAGCGAGGACAGCUUUUUAACGUUCGAUCUCAAAUCAGG